rfam:Zea mays cultivar B73 chromosome 9, whole genome shotgun sequence.
UAGCUUAGUUGGUAAAAUACAAGGCUCUUAACCUUGUGGUCGUGGGUUCGAGCCCUAC